rnacentral:lncRNA from 1 species
AAUUAUUUUAUAAGAUAAUUUGCCAAUCAAAUUGACCAAAUUACCCCUGAAUGAUUCUUAAUCAUUCAUCAGCUUUCUUGAUCAAUCAAGAAUCUUCUAUGCGUGUGACCUCAUAGGUUCGAACCUAAGCCGGUAGUAUAGGAACAAUUUUCUACACUAAUCGAUGUGACCAUCUAGCAAUGGUACCCGAUGUCCGGAUAGGUCGAAUAUAUGCGAAGCAAAUAUUCUGGAACCCUGAACUAUGGUUACUGUAUAAUUCAAUCCCUUUGACU